UACGGAGGAUGCGAGCGUUAUCCGGAUUUAUUGGGUUUAAAGGGUGCGCAGGCGGCGUGUCAAGUCAGCGGUAAAAUGUCGGGGCUCAACCCCGGCCGGCCGUCGGAACUGGGUGCCUUGAGUGGGCGAGAAGUAUGCGGAAUGCGUGGUGUAGCGGUGAAAUGCAUAGAUAUUGCGCAGAACUCCGAUUGCGAAGGCAGCAUACCGGCGGCGAUCUGACGCUGAGGCACGAAAGCGUGGGUAUCGAACAGG
rnacentral:rRNA from 1 species